UAAGUACUCCCUCCGUCCAACAAAAGAUGUCUCAAAUUUGUCAAAUUUAAAUGUAUCUAGACAUGCCUUAGUGUAUAGAUGCAUUUAAAUUUAGUCAAAGUUGAGACAUCCUUUGUUGAACGGAGGAAGUAUGAU
rfam:Brachypodium distachyon strain Bd21 chromosome 2, whole genome shotgun sequence.